GACGAACCGAGCGAACGUUGUUCGGAAUCACUGGGCUUAAAAGGGCGCGUAGGCGGGUGCUCAAGUCCGUGGUGAAAUCCUCCGGCUCAACCGGAGAACUGCCUCGGAUACUGGGCGUCUCGAGUGUGGUAGGGGUAUGCGGAACUAUCGGUGGAGCGGUGAAAUGCGUUGAUAUCGAUAGGAACUCCGGUGGCGAAGGCGGCAUACUGGACCACCACUGACGCUGAUGCGCGAAAGCCAGGGGAGCAAACGGG
rnacentral:rRNA from 1 species